GGAGAGUUACUCAAGUGGUUAAGAGGACUGGUUGCUACCCAGUUAGCACCAAAUGGUGGCGGAGGUUCGAAUCCUCUACUCUCCG
rnacentral:tRNA from 1 species